GAUGAACGCUAGCUACAGGCUUAACACAUGCAAGUCGAGGGGCAGCAUGGUCUUAGCUUGCUAAGGCCGAUGGCGACCGGCGCACGGGUGAGUAACACGUAUCCAACCUGCCGUCUACUCUUGGACAGCCUUCUGAAAGGAAGAUUAAUACAAGAUGGCAUCAUGAGUCCGCAUGUUCACAUGAUUAAAGGUAUUCCGGUAGACGAUGGGGAUGCGUUCCAUUAGAUAGUAGGCGGGGUAACGGCCCACCUAGUCUUCGAUGGAUAGGGGUUCUGAGAGGAAGGUCCCCCACAUUGGAACUGAGGCACGGUCCAAACUCCUACGGGAGGCAGCAGUGAGGAAUAUUGGUCAAUGGGCGAGAGCCUGAACCAGCCAAGUAGCGUGAAGGAUGACUGCCCUAUGGGUUGUAAACUUCUUUUAUAAAGGAAUAAAGUCGGGUAUGGAUACCCGUUUGCAUGUACUUUAUGAAUAAGGAUCGGCUAACUCCGUG
rnacentral:rRNA from 1 species